rnacentral:rRNA from 1 species
UAAGCCAUGCUAGUCUUUGUAGUAAUACAAGGCAUACGGCUCAGUAACGCGUAGUCAACCUACCCUAUGGACGGGGAUAAUCUCGGGAAACUGAGCAUAAUACCCGGUAGACCACUUCUCCUGGAAUGGUUAGUGGUUAAAAUGAUUCGUCGCCAUAGGAUGGGACUGCGGCCUAUCAGCUUGUUGGUGAGGUAAUGGCCCACCAAGGCGAUUACAGGUACGGGCUCUGAGAGGAGAAGCCCGGAGAUGGGUACUGAGACAAGGACCCAGGCCCUAUGGGGCGCAGCAGGCGAGAAAACUUUGCAAUGUGCGAAAGCACGACAAGGUUAAUCCGAGUGAUUUCUGCUAAAGGAAUCUUUUGUUAGUUCUAAAUCUACUAGUGAAUAAGGGGUGGGCAAGUUCUGGUGUCAGCCGCCGCGGUAAAACCAGCACCUCAAGUGGUCAGGAGGAUUAUUGGGCCUAAAGCAUCCGUAGCCUGUUCUAUAAGUUUGCGGUUAAAUCUAUACGCUCAACGUAUAGGCUGCCGUAAAUACUGUAGAACUAGGGAGUGGGAGAGGUAGACGGUACUCGGUAGGAAGGGGUAAAUCCUUUGAUCUAUUGAUGACCACCUGUGGCGAAGGCGGUCUACCAGAACACGUUCGACGGUGAGGGAUGGAAGCUGGGGGAGCAAACCGGAUUAGAUACCCGGGUAGUCCCAGCUGUAAACGAUGCAGACUCGAUGAUGCAAUGGCAUAGAGCUAUUGCAGUAUCGCAGGGAAGCCGUUAAGUCUGCCGCCUGGGAAGUACGUACGCAAGUAUGAAACUUAAAGGAAUUGGCGGGGGAGCACCACAAGGGGUGAAGCCUGCGGUUC